GACGAACGCUGGCGGCGUGCUUAACACAUGCAAGUCGAACGGAAAGGCCCUGCUUUUGUGGGGUGCUCGAGUGGCGAACGGGUGAGUAACACGUGAGUAACCUGCCCUUGACUUUGGGAUAACUUCAGGAAACUGGGGAUAAUACCGGAUAGGAGCUCCUGCUGCAUGGUGGGGGUUGGAAAGUUUCGGCGGUUGGGGAUGGACUCGCGGCUUAUCAGCUUGUUGGUGGGGUAGUGGCUUACCAAGGCUUUGACGGAUAGCCGGCCUGGGAGGGUAAGCGGCCACAUUGGGACUGAGAUACGGCACAGACUGCUACAGGAGGCAGCGGUGGCGAGUAUUGAACAAUGGGCGGAAGCCUGAUGCAGCAACGCCGCGUGCGGGAUGACGGCCUUCGGGUUGUAAACCGCUUUCGCCUGUGACGAAGCGUGAGUGACGGUAAUGGGUAAAGAAGCACCGGCUAACUACGUG
rnacentral:rRNA from 1 species